rnacentral:rRNA from 1 species
UACGUAGGGAGCGAGCGUUGUCCGGAAUUACUGGGUGUAAAGGGAGCGUAGGCGGGAUCGCAAGUCAGAUGUGAAAACUAUGGGCUUAACCCAUAAACUGCAUUUGAAACUGUGGUCCUUGAGUGAAGUAGAGGUAAGCGGAAUUCCUAGUGUAGCGGUGAAAUGCGUAGAUAUUAGGAGGAACAUCAGUGGCGAAGGCGGCUUACUGGGCUUUAACUGACGCUGAGGCUCGAAAGCGUGGGGAGCAAACAGG